rnacentral:rRNA from 1 species
GAUGAACGCUGGCGGCGUGCCUAAUACAUGCAAGUCGAGCGAACGGACGAGAAGCUUGCUUCUCUGAUGUUAGCGGCGGACGGGUGAGUAACACGUGGAUAACCUACCUAUAAGACUGGGAUAACUUCGGGAAACCGGAGCUAAUACCGGAUAAUAUUUUGAACCGCAUGGUUCAAAAGUGAAAGACGGUCUUGCUGUCACUUAUAGAUGGAUCCGCGCUGCAUUAGCUAGUUGGUAAGGUAACGGCUUACCAAGGCAACGAUGCAUAGCCGACCUGAGAGGGUGAUCGGCCACCUGGGAACUGAGACACGGUCCAGACUCCUACGGGAGGCAGCAGUAGGGAAUCUUCCGCAAUGGGCGAAAGCCUGACGGAGCAACGCCGCGUGAGUGAUGAAGGUCUUCGGAUCGUAAAACUCUGUUAUUAGGGAAGAACAUAUGUGUAAGUAACUGUGCACAUCUUGACGGUACCUAAUCAGAAAGCCACGGCUAACUACGUG